GGGCCUCUAGCUCAACUGGCAGAGCUGUGGACUUUUAAUCCAUAGGUUGUGGGUUCGAGCCCCACGGGGCCCACC
rnacentral:tRNA from 1 species